rnacentral:rRNA from 1 species
UACGUAGGGAGCAAGCGUUGUCCGGAAUCCUUGGGCGUAAAGCGCGCGUAGGUGGCCUCAUAAGUCCGCUGUGAAAGUCAAAGGCUCAACCUUUGAAAGCCGGUGGAUACUGUGGGGCUAGAGUACGGAAGAGGCGAGUGGAAUUCCUGGUGUAGCGGUGGAAUGCGCAGAUAUCAGGAGGAACACCAAUAGCGAAGGCAGCUCGCUGGGACGUUACUGACGCUGAGACGCGAAAGCCAGGGGAGCGAACGGG